ensembl:lncRNA
GGAGGAGAAAUAUUGUUUGCAGUGAGUCCAAAACAUACUCAUUAGUGGAAACUUUUCUUUCUUAUUUUUUUCCCUAGUGCAGAGUACCUCAUGAGAAUAAGAUGCUGAAGAAUCAAGGUCUUUUGACCUGUGUCCUUGACUCCAAGGCAGUAGCCCUCCAACCCAGGCACCUGGGUGCCUGUGACCUGUUUGCUGGUAAAAGAGUGCUGAUGGAUCCAGGAGUGGUGAGGAGCUCUCUCCACCUUGUGGCAGCUGGGCUGGCAGGGCGGCCGGGAGGGCAGGGACCAGGCUGCCUGGGUUUGAAGCUGAUCUCUCCACUUAGCACAGGUUACUCUGAGCCAGAACUUCGAGCUUCUGAUCUGUAAAAUGGGAGUAAUCCAGUGUCUACCUCGUGCGGUCGGUUAUGAAGAUGAGGUGAGUUGAUACAUACCGGAGGUGGUUUGAACAGGGCCUGGGGUGCAGCCACUUCAAGGGCUGCUAUCAUUACCCUCUCCCUUGGUUCCAGUGGCUUGUGAACAGAGCCUCACUACACCCAAGUGCUGGAGGAAAGGGAACAAGCUCAGAGUGUGAGAGAUGCUCUCUUGUGACCUAGUUAGUGUCUAGCUGGAGGGCUGCUGGUCUUGCUGGCAAGUGAGGGACAGACGGAGUGCCUACUGAGUCCUUGCAGAUAACCUGGGCUGGGCUGGCCUGGGCCAGCCUCCUCACAUGCCAGCACCCAGACCCAAGUGGGGGCUACUGGACCUGCUUAGGUCAGCGGCAUGGAGGGGGCCCAUAAGCCAUCAGUUCUACCCCAAGGUUGCCUAGAGAAACUUCAGAGAAACACACACAGGUGCUCACAAGCUGUGCCCGCAAAUGCCUAAAAGAGCGCUGUUUGGAUGGCCAAUAGCUAGGUACCAUCCAUAGGCCCACUGACGGCAGGAUGGGUAAGUGAGUUGAGUCACAGACACACAGUCGAAUACACCAUGUACCUGUGAGAGCCAAUAAAGUACAACCACAUACUGGGAGAAAAUAUUUGCAGAUGAUGUGAAUGAUAAGGGGUUAAUAUCCAACAUAUAUGGGCUUCCCAGGUGGUGCUAGUGGUAAAGAAUUCGCCUACCCAUGCAGGAAACGCAAGAGAUGUG